GACGAACGCUGGCGGCGUGCCUAAUACAUGCAAGUAGAACGCUGAAGGAGGAGCUUGCUUCUCUGGAUGAGUUGCGAACGGGUGAGUAACGCGUAGGUAACCUGCCUGGUAGCGGGGGAUAACUAUUGGAAACGAUAGCUAAUACCGCAUAAGAGUAGAUGUUGCAUGACAUUUACUUAAAAGGUGCAAUUGCAUCACUACCAGAUGGACCUGCGUUGUAUUAGCUAGUUGGUGAGGUAACGGCUCACCAAGGCAACGAUACAUAGCCGACCUGAGAGGGUGAUCGGCCACACUGGGACUGAGACACGGCCCAGACUCCUACGGGAGGCAGCAGUAGGGAAUCUUCGGCAAUGGACGGAAGUCUGACCGAGCAACGCCGCGUGAGGGAAGAAGGUUUUCGGAUCGUAAAGCUCUGUUGUAAGAGAAGAACGAGUGUGAGAGUGGAAAGUUCACACUGUGACGGUGUCUUACCAGAAAGGGACGGCUAACUACGUG
rnacentral:rRNA from 1 species